rnacentral:rRNA from 1 species
GAUGAACGCUGGCGGCGUGCUUAACACAUGCAAGUCGAACGAAGCACUUUAACUUGAUUCUUCGGAUGAAGGUUUUUGUGACUGAGUGGCGGACGGGUGAGUAACGCGUGGGUAACCUGCCUCAUACAGGGGGAUAACAGUUAGAAAUGACUGCUAAUACCGCAUAAGACCACGGAGCCGCAUGGCUCCGUGGGAAAAACUCCGGUGGUGUGAGAUGGACCCGCGUCUGAUUAGGUAGUUGGUGGGGUAACGGCCUACCAAGCCGACGAUCAGUAGCCGACCUGAGAGGGUGACCGGCCACAUUGGGACUGAGACACGGCCCAAACUCCUACGGGAGGCAGCAGUGGGGAAUAUUGCACAAUGGGGGAAACCCUGAUGCAGCGACGCCGCGUGAAGCGAAGAAAGUAUUUCGGUAUGUAAAGCUCUAUCAGCAGGGAAGAAAAUGACGGUACCUGACUAAGAAGCACCGGCUAAAUACGUGCCAGCAGCCGCGGUAAUACGUAUGGUGCAAGCGUUAUCCGGAUUUACUGGGUGUAAAGGGAGCGUAGACGGCUGUGUAAGUCUGAAGUGAAAGCCCGGGGCUCAACCCCGGGACUGCUUUGGAAACUAUGCAGCUAGAGUGUCGGAGAGGUAAGUGGAAUUCCCAGUGUAGCGGUGAAAUGCGUAGAUAUUGGGAGGAACACCAGUGGCGAAGGCGGCUUACUGGACGAUGACUGACGUUGAGGCUCGAAAGCGUGGGGAGCAAACAGGAUUAGAUACCCUGGUAGUCCACGCCGUAAAC